UACGAAGGGGGCUAGCGUUGCUCGGAAUCACUGGGCGUAAAGGGUGCGUAGGCGGGGCUUUAAGUCAGGGGUGAAAUCCUGGAGCUCAACUCCAGAACUGCCUUUGAUACUGAGGAUCUUGAGUACGGGAGAGGUGAGUGGAACUGCGAGUGUUGAGGUGAAAUUCGUAGAUAUUCGCAAGAACACCAGUGGCGAAGGCGGCUCACUGGCCCGUAACUGACGCUGAGGCACGAAAGCGUGGGGAGCAAACAGG
rnacentral:rRNA from 1 species